CGGGUGAGUAAUGUAUGGGGAUCUGCCUGAUGGCGGGGGGUAACUACUGGAAACGGUAGCUAAUACCGCAUAAUGUCUACGGACCAAAGCGGGGGACCUCCGGGCCUCGCGCCAUCAGAUGAACCCAUAUGGGAUUAGCUAGUAGGUAAGGUAACGGCUUACCUAGGCGACGAUCCCUAGCUGGUCUGAGAGGAUGAUCAGCCACACUGGGACUGAGGCACGGUCCAG
rnacentral:rRNA from 1 species